rnacentral:rRNA from 1 species
UACGGAGGGUGCGAGCGUUGUCCGGAAUCACUGGGCGUAAAGAGCGUGUAGGCGGCCAGACAGGUCCGUUGUGAAAACUCGAGGCUCAACCUCGAGACGCCGAUGGAAACCGUCUGGCUAGAGUCCGGAAGAGGAGAGUGGAAUUCCUGGUGUAGCGGUGAAAUGCGCAGAUAUCAGGAAGAACACCCGUGGCUAAGGCGGCUCUCUAGUACGGUACUGACGCUGAGACGCGAAAGCGUGGGGAGCGAACAGG